AUACGGAGGAUCCGAGCGUUAUCCGGAUUUAUUGGGUUUAAAGGGAGCGUAGGUGGAUUGUUAAGUCAGUUGUGAAAGUUUGCGGCUCAACCGUAAAAUUGCAGUUGAAACUGGCAGUCUUGAGUACAGUCGAGGUGGGCUGAAUUCGUGGGGUAGCGGGGAAAUGCUUAGAUAUCACGAAGAACUCCGAUUGCGAAGGCAGCUCACUAGACUGCAACUGACACUGAUGCUCGAAAGUGUGGGUAUCAAACAGGAUUAGAUACCCUGGUAGUCCACACAGUAAACGAUGAAUACUCGCUGUUUGCGAUAUACAGUAAGCGGCCAAGCGAAAGCAUUAAGUAUUCCACCUGGGGAGUACGCCGGCAACGGUGAAACUCAAAGGAAUCGACGGGG
rnacentral:rRNA from 1 species